GAUGAAGAACGCAGCGAAAUGCGAUAAGUAAUGUGAAUUGCAGAAUUCAGUGAAUCAUCGAAUCUUUGAACGCACAUUGCGCCUGCCAGUAUUCUGGCGGGCAUGCCUGUCUGAGCGUCAUUUCAACCCUCAUGCCCCUAGGGCGUGGUGUUGGGGAUCGGCCAAAGCCCGCGAGGGACGGCCGGCCCCUAAAUCUAGUGGCGGACCCGUCGUGGCCUCCUCUGCGAAGUAGUGAUAUUCCGCAUCGGAGAGCGAUGAGCCCCUGCCGUUAAACCCCCAACUUUCCAAGGUUGACCUCAGAUCAGGUAGGAAUACCCGCUGAACUUAAGCAUAUCAAUAAGCGGAGGA
rnacentral:misc_RNA from 1 species